AGUGAACGCUGGCGGUAGGCCUAACACAUGCAAGUCGAACGGCAGCACAGUAAGAGCUUGCUCUUACGGGUGGCGAGUGGCGGACGGGUGAGGAAUACAUCGGAAUCUACUUUUUCGUGGGGGAUAACGUAGGGAAACUUACGCUAAUACCGCAUACGACCUACGGGUGAAAGCAGGGGAUCUUCGGACCUUGCGCGAUUGAAUGAGCCGAUGUCGGAUUAGCUAGUUGGCGGGGUAAAGGCCCACCAAGGCGACGAUCCGUAGCUGGUCUGAGAGGAUGAGCAGCCACACUGGAACUAAGACACGGUCCAGACUCCUACGGGUGGCAGCAGUGGGGAAUAUUGGACAAUGGGCGCAAGCCUGAUCCAGCCAUACCGCGUGGGUGAAGAAGGCCUUCGGGUUGUAAAGCCCUUUUGUUGGGAAAGAAAAGCAGCAGGUUAAUACCCCGCUGUUCUGACGGUACCCAAAGAAUAAGCACCGGCUAACUUCGUG
rnacentral:rRNA from 1 species